CUAGGGAGGCUGCAGUGGGGAAUAUUGGACAAUGGGCGAAAGCCUGAUCCAGCCAUGCCGCGUGUGUGAAGAAGGCCUUCGGGUUGUAAAGCACUUUCAGUGGGGAAGAAAGCCUUGGGGCUAAUACCCUCGAGGAAGGACAUCACCCACAGAAGAAGCACCGGCUAACUCCGUGCCAGCAGCCGCGGUAAUACGGAGGGUGCGAGCGUUAAUCGGAAUUACUGGGCGUAAAGCGCGCGUAGGCGGUCUGAUAAGCCGGUUGUGAAAGCCCCGGGCUCAACCUGGGAACGGCAUCCGGAACUGUCAGGCUAGAGUGCAGGAGAGGAAGGUAGAAUUCCCGGUGUAGCGGUGAAAUGCGUAGAGAUCGGGAGGAAUACCAGUGGCGAAGGCGGCCUUCUGGACUGACACUGACGCUGAGGUGCGAAAGCGUGGGUAGCAAACAGGAUUAGAUACCCUGGUAGUC
rnacentral:rRNA from 1 species